rnacentral:rRNA from 1 species
UGGGGAAUAUUGCACAAUGGGGGAAACCCUGAUGCAGCGACGCCGCGUGAAGGAAGAAGUAUUUCGGUAUGUAAACUUCUAUCAGCAGGGAAGAAAAUGACGGUACCUGACUAAGAAGCUCCGGCUAAAUACGUGCCAGCAGCCGCGGUAAUACGUAUGGAGCAAGCGUUAUCCGGAUUUACUGGGUGUAAAGGGAGCGUAGGCGGCAGGGCAAGUCUGAUGUGAAACUCCGGGGCUCAACCCCGGACUUGCAUUGGAAACUGUCAGGCUGGAGUGCGGGAGAGGCAGGCGGAAUUCCUAGUGUAGCGGUGAAAUGCGUAGAUAUUAGGAGGAACACCAGUGGCGAAGGCGGCCUGCUGGACCGUAACUGACGCUGAGGCUCGAAAGCGUGGGGAGCGAACAGG